rnacentral:snRNA from 1 species
GUCUCACUUUGGCAGCACAUAUACUAAAAUUGAAACUAUACAGAGAAGAUUAGCAAGGCCCCUGUGCAAAGAUAACAUGCAAAUUCGUGAAGUGUUCCAUAUUUUU